GACAGAGGGUGCAAACGUUGUUCGGAAUUACUGGGCGUAAAGCGCGUGUAGGCUGCUCAAAAAGUUGGAUGUGAAAGCCCUGGGCUUAACCUAGGAAGUGCAUUCAAAACUACUGAGCUGGAGUCCUGGAGAGGAAGGCGGAAUUCUCGGUGUAGAGGUGAAAUUCGUAGAUAUCGAGAGGAACACCGGUGGCGAAGGCGGCCUUCUGGACAGUGACUGACGCUGAGACGCGAAAGCGUGGGGAGCAAACAGG
rnacentral:rRNA from 1 species